UGCUCUAGUUUUUAGUGUCAUGCCUCUCU
rnacentral:piRNA from 1 species